rnacentral:sRNA from 1 species
CGCCAGCGCGUGAGGGAUGGCAGCGGAUAUCCUUUUUUGUGAUGGGAAAAGCAUGGGAAAAAGAUAGCAGCGUACAGCCCGGCCGCAG